CGAACGAACUCUGGUAUUGAUUGGUGCUUGCAUCAUGAUUUACAUUUGAGUGAGUGGCGAACUGGUGAGUAACACGUGGGAAACCUGCCCAGAAGCGGGGGAUAACACCUGGAAACAGAUGCUAAUACCGCAUAACAACUUGGACCGCAUGGUCCGAGUUUGAAAGAUGGCUUCGGCUAUCACUUUUGGAUGGUCCCGCGGCGUAUUAGCUAGAUGGUGGGGUAACGGCUCACCAUGGCAAUGAUACGUAGCCGACCUGAGAGGGUAAUCGGCCACAUUGGGACUGAGACACGGCCCAAACUCCUACGGGAGGCAGCAGUAGGGAAUCUUCCACAAUGGACGAAAGUCUGAUGGAGCAACGCCGCGUGAGUGAAGAAGGGUUUCGGCUCGUAAAACUCUGUUGUUAAAGAAGAACAUAUCUGAGAGUAACUGUUCAGGUAUUGACGGUAUUUAACCAGAAAGCCACGGCUAACUACGUGCCAGCAGCCGCGGUAAUACGUAGGUGGCAAGCGUUGUCCGGAUUUAUUGGGCGUAAAGCGAGCGCAGGCGGUUUUUUAAGUCUGAUGUGAAAGCCUUCGGCUCAACCGAAGAAGUGCAUCGGAAACUGGGAAACUUGAGUGCAGAAGAGGACAGUGGAACUCCAUGUGUAGCGGUGAAAUGCGUAGAUAUAUGGAAGAACACCAGUGGCGAAGGCGGCUGUCUGGUCUGUAACUGACGCUGAGGCUCGAAAGUAUGGGUAGCAAACAGGAUUAGAUACCCUGGUAGUCCAUACCGUAAACGAUGAAUGCUAAGUGUUGGAGGGUUUCCGCCCUUCAGUGCUGCAGCUAACGCAUUAAGCAUUCCGCCUGGGGAGUACGGCCGCAAGGCUGAAACUCAAAGGAAUUGACGGGGGCCCGCACAAGCGGUGGAGCAUGUGGUUUAAUUCGAAGCUACGCGAAGAACCUUACCAGGUCUUGACAUACUAUGCAAAUCUAAGAGAUUAGACGUUCCCUUCGGGGACAUGGAUACAGGUGGUGCAUGGUUGUCGUCAGCUCGUGUCGUGAGAUGUUGGGUUAAGUCCCGCAACGAGCGCAACCCUUAUUAUCAGUUGCCAGCAUUAAGUUGGGCACUCUGGUGAGACUGCCGGUGACAAACCGGAGGAAGGUGGGGAUGACGUCAAAUCAUCAUGCCCCUUAUGACCUGGGCUACACACGUGCUACAAUGGAUGGUACAACGAGUUGCGAACUCGCGAGAGUAAGCUAAUCUCUUAAAGCCAUUCUCAGUUCGGAUUGUAGGCUGCAACUCGCCUACAUGAAGUCGGAAUCGCUAGUAAUCGCGGAUCAGCAUGCCGCGGUGAAUACGUUCCCGGGCCUUGUACACACCGCCCGUCACACCAUGAGAGUUUGUAACACCCAAAGUCGGUGGGGUAACCUUUUAGGAACCAGCCGCCUAAGGUGGGACAGAUGAUUAGGG
rnacentral:rRNA from 1 species